GACGAACGCUGGCGGCGUGCUUAACACAUGCAAGUCGAACGGAGCGAAUGAAAGCUUGCUUUUAUAAGCUUAGUGGCAAACGGGUGAGUAACACGUAGACAACCUGCCGACAGGAUGGGGACAACAUUCCGAAAGGAAUGCUAAUACCGAAUGAAGUGCAGGGGAGGCAUCUCCCCUGCAUGAAAGAUGGCCUCUAUAUAUAAGCUAUCACCUGUUGAUGGGUCUGCGUCUGAUUAGCUGGUAGGUGAGGUAACGGCUCACCUAGGCGACGAUCAGUAGCCGGUCUGAGAGGAUGAACGGCCACAUUGGGACUGAGACACGGCCCAGACUCCUACGGGAGGCAGCAGUGGGGAAUCUUCCGCCCAUGGGCGCAAGCCUGACGGAGCAACGCCGCGUGAGUGAAGAAGGUCUUCGGAUCGUAAAGCUCUGUUGAUGGGGACGAACGUGCCUAAUGCGAAUAGUUUUAGGCAAUGACGGACCCAUCGAGAAGCCACG
rnacentral:rRNA from 1 species